rnacentral:ncRNA from 1 species
UAAUACUAGUUGAAAAUGAUUAUCAAUACCGGAUAGAACAUUCCCCCCCACAUAUAUUUCGUUCUUAUUGGAUUGGUCAUUUUCAAUUAUCCCCUUUUAUAUGCCCGUAAAAGACUAACGUUGAGAAACAACGUUUCAAUAAAGCAGUAAACCUUUGACACUUGAGGUUUACUGCUUUU